rnacentral:lncRNA from 1 species
UGCGCCAAGAUUCUUUCUCAACUUGGACUCUUAGUUUUUGGCAUUAAUCAUUAGAUAUGGUACCUUUUUUUGGCUGCUUCCAGGUGGCUUGACCUGACCCAAAUGCCCACCAAAUUUGGCUAGCAAAUCAACAAGGCAUGAGACCAAAUUGAUCUCCAAAGGAGCUCGAGAUUCCACACAUGCUAGCAUGCUUACUGGAACCC